UAUCUAUUUAUUUAUUUAUUUAUUAUUUUUUUAAUGGACAUGGCCAUGUACUGUAACCUAUGUGCCUUUAGUGUUUAUUACUGCACUGUCUAACAACUAACAUGAUUAACAGUGAUGGUCUAUGAUGGGUCGAGGGAGGCGUCUGGCCCUUGGCAUCUUUGUCCUGCUGGUGGUCGACGUCAUUUGGGUGGCUUCAUCAGAAUUGUCGGAGUAUAUCUUCAAUGAUACCGGCUUCAAUAAACCUUUUUUCAGUACAUACUUAAAGACCAGUAUGUUUUCACUAUAUUUGCUGGGAUUUAUAUUUUGGAGCCCCUGGAGACACCAAUGUGCCCAAAGAAACCACAAUGAGAGUAUUUACCAGGUAAGUUAUUUAUUGCAAUUCAUAUUAGAUUAUUUUUUUGAUAUUUUUUAUAUGUGAUAUGGAAAUAAAUUUAUUUUAGGGUAAUUGUGUUGCUCUUUUUUCUGUGUUAACUAGACUUGAGUCAUGCUAUACAUACUGUAGAAUAUUUACUGAUUACAAAAGGCAUUGGUUAUUCCUUUUAUUUCCAAGGCCUCCAGACCACCAUUUUAUUUCAUAACUUUGCCUUCUCUUUCCCCCUUAUCCCCUUCACUUCCUCUUGUGCUGAAUAGAAUCAUCUGGCAUUAGCCAAAUGAAAUAUUUAAGAGACAAUGAAGGGGUUAAUACAGUAAAACCUUUAUCGUUUAUCAAUCAAUACUUUACAAAUUGGCUAGUUCAUACAUGCAGUUCAAUGUGUGUUAUGUUCACCAAAAAUUAAAUAUUUUACACUUCCAUCAAUAUUGCAAAAUAUAAAAUUAAAAAUAUAAGAAAAUGUGUUCAACAAAAAACAAUAGCAAAGCAAGUAGUGAUGUACAGUAUGUUCAUUGUACAGCCCAUUCUUCCUGCAUCACCUGAAGAGGCACUGGGAGGGAGUGUAUAUUAAUAUGAAGUGAAAAAUGUAUUGUCAAAGCACUUGGUCAGUAAUGUGUCCAAAUUUAAGCUUUCUAGCUCAAAAAUUUCCAUAAAUAACAUCCAGACAACAUUAAGUGUUGAGUUGAGUAUGCUUCUAAUAUUCUCUUGCUAUUACAGGAAGUGGAUUCAAUGGAGGAUGAAGAUUUACCGCUGUCAGAUGUUUGGUAUGUUGAAUUGUACUUGCCAUUUGUAGUUGUGAUGUAAUAAAGUAUUAUGUUGAUGGAAUUGUGAAUGGGUGCUUGUAGUACUUAAUUGUAUUAUUAACUCCUUCACUUCAGUGUUCAAAUUAUGCAAAGUAUAAAUAGAUUUUGCGCCUUAAUCCUUACAAUAAUUUUGUGUCAUUUAUAUUAAGGUGAUACAGCAAUUAUUAAAGCAUAAUAUUUCAUAGCUAAAUAGAGUAAUUUCUUAUUGCUGGCUUUGUUCCAACAAUUUCAGAAAGAGACUCAAUUAUAGCCUCAAAUCUGGUGUAAAAGCAUGUUGUUGAUAAGCCUCCAAACUCCUCAUUGCUCAUGCCCCUCAUUGUUAUCUCUACCAUUAGCAUUGGGGAGUUCUGAUGGUCAGUCGUCAUUGUUAUUGUCACUGCUGUCGAUACCUUUCUUUUCUAUAUCUCUAAAUUAGGUGUAAAUUAAUGUAAAAAUAACAGUAAAUUUAUUGUGUGGCAGUUGUGGUAAGACUGGUGGAGGAGUGUGGUGUUUUUUUUAUGAGGGAAAGACAAUUGUUUGAAGACCGGGUUGGGCAAAGUGUUUUAUAACCAUUUUCCACGCUUGUGUGGAUUAGCCGUGAUUAUCUGAUGGCAACUUUCCAUUCUACAGUCUUUGCAUUCCCUCUUGUCAGGUUCUUAACUCUUAAUGUCAUUUCUUACAACCUCUCCCCAUGUCAUUCUUGGCUCUUCUCCCCCCACAUUUAGACUCAUACACCUCUUGACCUAAUUAGUGUGAUUCAUUCUCCAAAAUUCCAAACCAUCUCAGCAUACUGCUACACAGAAUUUUGCCAAUAGAACUCAAUACCAGCCACCCUCUUACCUCUGAAAAGGAUUUUUUGUCUUUCAGUGCCACAUUGCAUAUCCACCUCACUAGUCUCAUUUAACUUGAUGGAUAAAUGUAUUGCAACUGCAUAGGUUGUAGUAGAGUGGUGUGGUCCAAAAUUGUUUGGGUACACCUGUUUAAAAUUUGCAUGACAGGAGAAAUUAUGUAUUAAUGAAUAUAUGUAGCACAUAGUGAAAAGUGUUCACUUACUUAAAAAUUUCUUCUAUACAAAAGUCUAUUCAGUAUACAGACUGCAUAUAGUGAGGAAUAUCUAUACUUAAACACUUGUCAAAAGGUUACUUUUAACAAGUUUUAUGAACAAUCUGAAACCCAGAGAAUACAUUAAUUCUUUAGAAGUUGCUAUUUUGCAUGACCUGGCAUUUUCUGAGAACGCAGCUACUGCACUGUGUGGAGUUUUACUGUGCUCAGAAACCUUCACCUAAGUCAUUGAUGAGGACCUCAGAUGACUACGUACCUGAGGCUGAUUACCCCCAUUUUGUUAUUUAUUUUUUUCCCAAGUUUUUAUCCAUUUUAUUAUUAUUAUUUUUUACAGGGAUUAGCCCACCCGGGCACAGGUCACUGACCCACAUCGGGGCCUGGGGGCGAAAAUGUCAGGAAAUCUUAAUCAAAUUUAUGGAAAAUAUUUUUUAAUGUUUUACCAAUACCGGUAAUUAUCAGGGUUUAUACUGAUUAUUGUAAUGUAUAUUAUAGAAGUAUUUAUUUUUAUUACUCUUCUUAUUAAUAUGAAGCUCUUGCAGACGAGAGACAGGCGCACCCCUCCACCUGUGCCCAUCUUCACUUUGGACCAGCUGGCAUCUAGUGUUGCGAGAGACAGUGAUGCGAAUGCUCAACUGACACAUUUGGUCCUGUGGCACUAUUUACCCAUUCAACAAGCUAGAACGAUUUAUAACAACAAUGAUGAAAAGAGUGAACCAAAGUAUGUUCCUCUGAAACUACAAGAAUUGCAAGAAAAAAGUUCUGAUGGAGAAUCUGAUGACUCUUCAGUAAAGUCCGUCCGCUUCAGCAAAUUGACAGAGGUUCGGCAAAUGUCAGAAAACGAGGCAGUUGAUGCCAUGAUGUCUCGCCUGUCUUUUUCUGCCUCUGUCCGUGCUGAACAACUGGCUAUGCAGGCAGCAAAUAAAUUAUCUGUUAAGGAAGUUAUGAAAAUAUCUAGUAUAUUUUGUUUAUUGGUAAGUAUAGAUGUUGAUUUUAUCUCGGAUAUUCACUUGGCUUUUUAUAUUAAAUCUCCUUCAUUCUGUGUGUGUGUGUGAAAGUGAGAGAUAUUAAUUAUUAUUAAAUCCUUGCCAAGUUGCUCUCACAAUAUUGGGAGUCAAGUAAACCCCCCAUAACUCAGCACAUAUGGGACCGAGGCCUUGCCAAUUAAUCAGAAUUUGCCGGCAAGUAUUAUUUCACAGUCACAGUAAAUAAUUGUGCUGACAAGCAAAAGAUUACACUUUAUACAUGACACUUAACACUAUCUGUACGGUAACGCUUCAUGGGCGCUUAAUCACUGUCAGAAGGUCUACCAGUGACA